rnacentral:rRNA from 1 species
AUGAUGACGCGAGGGCAGCGGCGGCGCUUGGGCCUCGCCGAUCCACCGGUUCCUUGCGCCGGAUCUGGCCACCCGAGGAAGCGACCGCGUCAGGGUCUGCGCCGCUGUACCGCCGCGCGUCUCCCCGGUCAUGAGCCCCGCUCCUCCACCGACGGCGCGCGUCGCACCGGCCAUCCGGAGGAAGAGACCGAAUGGAGGGACUGGGCGAAUCUGACGACCUCGCUCGCCGACGACGUCGCCGUCCGGCUGCUCUCCCACAACGUGUCGGAGUAUCUCCGCUUCAGAGCCGUGUGCAAGCCCUGGCGCUCGGCCACCGAGGACCCGCGAGCGCACGGCGUUCUGGAUAGCCGGUUCCGCCCCCACGGUUGGUUCCCGCUGCCCAACCGAGGGGAGCCCCCGUCGCGCCGACGCCUCGUCCACGCAACCGCCAGGGCCCGCGUCAGAGUCCACCACCAGAUAUUCUCCACCAGCCACCUCCUCAGCGUGGCCGACGGCCUCCUCGUCAUGUGCGACGAGGCAACCAGCACCGUCCGCCUCCUUCACCCGUUCACCGGCGCGCUCGCCGAGUUCCCCGACAUCACCGACGUGCGGCCACACGAGGGCGCGGAGCCGGGCGCCCGCCUCGGCAUGGACGCCUUCAAGGCCCGCUUCCCUGGCCUCCGCGUUGACCUGGACGCCCACCUCGCCACGGGCGACUACAAGUCCGGCUACCCCGCCGAGGGCACGGUCAUGGACUUCGCCAACAUCGACGACUCCACCUCCCCGCCGACUCUCCAGCUCUGCGUGAAAAAUGGGAAGUGGCUCGUCAUCUCCGCCAAGCCUGGCGAUGAGCACUGGGUGUCCCUGAGCAGCGUACGGGUCAUGUUACAAUGCGCUUUACUUAGGCUGGUCACAAAAAGUAAUUUCGAUUAG